CUGGUGGUUUUGGGGUGCAAUGUUUCGAUAUUUUCUGUGUAAAUCAGGGAGAAAUCUGAAAAGGGCGACUUCCAUCAUCAAUGGAGAAUCUUCUUCUUCAUCAUCAUUAGCAGCUAAGUACUUUCCCUUUACAUUUCAAAAUCGAAAUGUUUUUGUAAUUUCAAAAUCUAGGGUUACUUCAGUCUCUUAUUCCUUCUCUACUACUACUAGUAAUGGAAGUAUCAAUGUUACUUCUGCCGGUUCUGGUUCUGGUUCUGAUUCUGAUUCUUCAUUUGUGGUUUCUUAUCUGAUUGAUUCAUGUGGGUUAUCUGAAUCUGAAGCUAUUACUGCUUCUAAGAAACUCAAUUUCAAAACCACUUCUAAACCCAAUUCAGUGGUAUCCCUACUUAAGACUUACGGAUUUACUGAAUCCCACAUCUCUAAAUUAAUCCCUAGAUACCCAUCCAUCCUCUCAUCUAAUCCUCAUAAAACCCUAAAACCAAAAUUAGAUUUUUUUAAAUCCAAAGGACUUUAUGGAUUUGAUCUUACAAACUUCAUAUCUAAGGAACCUUUGAUCUUGGCACGGGGUUUUAAUAAUGAAAUAAUCCCUUCUUUCGAUAUCCUUAAGAGCAUUCUUCAUUCUGACCAAAACGUCAUUAAAAUGAUUAAACGUAAUUAUAGGAUUCUCAGUUCAAACCAUGUUAAAAGAUUGAUGGUCAACCUAGAGCUUUUGAGAAAUCAAGGUGUCCCUGAACCUCAUAUUUCUAUCUAUCUAAUCAGGCAACCUACAGCGUUUAGUGGAGAUGUCGCUAAAUUUAGAAAGAUUGUUGAAAAGACUAAAGAAAUGGGUUUUCAUCCCUUUAAUACUAUGUUUCUCGUAGCUAUACAAGGACUUGCAUCAAUGUCCGAAGCCAAUUGGAGAGAAAAAAAAGAUGUUUACAAGAGAUGGGGUUGGUCUGAGGAUCACAUUCAAACAGCAUUUAGGAAAUUUCCUUAUUGUAUGACGGUCUCUGAAAAAAAGAUCAUGGCGGUUAUGAAUUUCCUUGUGAACGAAAUGGGUUAUAAUUCAUUAAGUAUUUCCACAACCCCGGUAGUUUUUUGCUAUAGCCUGAAGGACAGGAUUAUCCCAAGGUGUUCAGUUAUCAGGAUUUUAGUCUCCAAGGGUCUGAUUCAGGAAAAAAAUUGUAUUAAUUCACUUUCAACAAUGGUUGACAAGUCUUUUCUGGAGAAAUUUGUCAAGAAGUACGAGGAAGAAGUUCCUGAAAUAAUGAAGGUGUUCCAGUGCCAGCUUAAAUACCAAGACCUACUUCAGAGGUGAAGGAUCUGAUGAGAUGAAUGUGUGGGUACAGUGUUCAAGAGACAUGAUUUAGUGACAGGAUGUGAGUGACAUGGGUUGACCAUGCUCAAAAGGAGCAGCAAGAUUCUAAAACCAAUUGCAAUGUCAGGUCUCAGCAUUCGAACAUUAUAUCUGAUGGUGAGAUGGACCCAUUACUUCCAGUGGAGGAGAACCCUCUCAGUAGCCCAAAAUCCGCAAGAAGCUAUGGUGACACACAUUUAGAGAUCAUCGAACAUCCGACAUGAGAAUUGGGCCUGGUUAGAAUCUACCAUGGUCUCUAUAUUUGUCAUUUUCCACGGUCAAAGUAACCACCAAAUUUGAUUCCCUCUCAUUAGUCAUUUCCUCUACCUGGUUUUCGAGGCAAGGAAGUUGGUUUGAGCUUGGUCUAUAUUGUUCUUUUCUCUCUGCUAUUGCUUUAACUCCAUACAGAGAUCCUUCACUCCAAGUCCAUGGCUAUACUUGGAAUCAUAUCUACUGCUUUUGAGAGGAAUAGAGAGAAAAUAGCAGAGGAAAGGGAUAUGUUCAUUUAACAUCCAGCAGGAAACGUUCUCACAACAUUAGCAAACUUCUUAUCAGAAGCUAUACAUAUACUGAAAACUUAGAUGUGUACCAGCUCUGUUGUACAUUUUUCUUUGUAUUUUCUGAUAUACUGGUAAUUGGCAAUAUUUUGAGUGAGAGAUCUUUUUAAACCAAGAGACAAGGGGUUCUGACGACGAUUAAGCUAAUUGUUACUUUUGUUUGUACAAUUUGUUGAUUCGAACCAACCACUGGACAGAGUACUUGUAAUCAUCUUCAGUAUAAAAGGUUUUGAUUCUGAGCUCUUUUGUACUUAAA